rnacentral:rRNA from 1 species
UACGUAGGGGGCUAGCGUUGUCCGGAUUUAUUGGGCGUAAAGAGCGUGUAGGCGGCCAGGUAGGUCUGCUGUGAAAACUCGAGGCUCAACCUCGAGACGUCGGCGGAAACCAUCUGGCUAGAGUCCGGAAGAGGAGAGUGGAAUUCCUGGUGUAGCGGUGAAAUGCGUAGAUAUCUGGAGGAACACCGGUGGCGAAGGCGGCAUCCUGGACCGACACUGACGCUGAGGAGCGAAAGCCAGGGGAGCAAACGGG